GCCCCCUUAGCCCAGAUGGCAGAGGCAGUCCCCUUAAAAGGGACCAAGUGUCGGUUCGAGUCCGACAGGGGGCACCA
rnacentral:tRNA from 1 species